AGACCACAUGGUUAUAUUACAUGUUAAGCCUUGCGGACGGGCGGGUCGGUUGCCGA
rfam:Eubacterium sp. CAG:86 genomic scaffold, scf109